rnacentral:rRNA from 1 species
CGAGCGAUUACUUAGGUAAAGAGCGGCGGACGGGUGAGUAACGCGUGGGUAACCUGCCUCAUACACAUGGAUAACAUACCGAAAGGUAUGCUAAUACAGGAUAAUAUAAGAGAUUCACAUGGAUUUUUUAUCAAAGCUCCGGCGGUAUGAGAUGGACCCGCGUCUGAUUAGCUAGUUGGUAAGGUAAUGGCUUACCAAGGCGACGAUCAGUAGCCGACCUGAGAGGGUGAUCGGCCACAUUGGAACUGAGACACGGUCCAAACUCCUACGGGAGGCAGCAGUGGGGAAUAUUGCACAAUGGGCGAAAGCCUGAUGCAGCAACGCCGCGUGAGUGAUGAAGGCCUUCGGGUCGUAAAACUCUGUCCUCAAGGAAGAUAAUGACGGUACUUGAGGAGGAAGCCCCGGCUAACUACGUGCCAGCCGCCGC